rnacentral:lncRNA from 1 species
AGUUAUGAGCAAGAGAACAUUCCUAAAACAACCAACAAAGCCAUCUCUGAGUUUUCCGAUAAAUCCAUUCCGCUGAUGCUCCGUCUUGCUGAGUGGCAGAUAAGCCCAAGCCCACGCCGCCUGCCGGACUAAAGGGUCCUUAAGUGGGACCUCCCUCCAGCUCUCCUUCCUGCUUAACUCGCACGGCGGCGAGAUGUCUUUAAGACUCGUGUACCUGUUAUCAUAUUCAUUAGUAGCCUCUAGCGUGACCAUCUCAAAUUCGAAUUCCAAGUAAUC